rnacentral:SRP_RNA from 1 species
GCCAGGUGUGGUGGCUCACACCUGUAAUCCCAGCACUUUGGGAGGCUGAGAUGGGUGGAUCACCUGAGGUCAGGAGUUCGAGACCAGCCUGGCCAACAAGGUAAAACCCCAUCUCUA